UAGGGAAUCUUCGGCAAUGGACGGAAGUCUGACCGAGCAACGCCGCGUGAGUGAAGAAGGUUUUCGGAUCGUAAAGCUCUGUUGUAAGAGAAGAACGAGUGUGAGAGUGGAAAGUUCACACUGUGACGGUAUCUUACCAGAAAGGGACGGCUAACUACGUGCCAGCAGCCGCGGUAAUACGUAGGUCCCGAGCGUUGUCCGGAUUUAUUGGGCGUAAAGCGAGCGCAGGCGGUUAGAUAAGUCUGAAGUUAAAGGCUGUGGCUUAAUCAUAGUAGGCUUUGGAAACUGUUUAACUUGAGUGCAAGAGGGGAGAGUGGAAUUCCAUGUGUAGCGGUGAAAUGCGUAGAUAUAUGGAGGAACACCGGUGGCGAAAGCGGCUCUCUGGCUUGUAACUGACGCUGAGGCUCGAAAGCGUGGGGAGCAAACAGGAUUAGAUACCCUGGUAGUCCACGCUGUAAACGAUGAGUGCUAGGUGUUAGACCCUUUCCGGGGUUUAGUGCCGUAGCUAACGCAUUAAGCACUCCGCCUGGGGAGUACGACCGCAAGGUU
rnacentral:rRNA from 1 species